rnacentral:tRNA from 1 species
GCUGGUGUGGCUCAGUGGUAGAGCAGCGCAUUCGUAAUGCGCAGGCCGCCGGUUCAAAUCCGGCCACCAGCUCCA